GAGUUUGAUCCUGGCUCAGAGCGAACGCUGGCGGCAGGCCUAAUACAUGCAAGUCGAACGGCUCUUCGGAGCAGUGGCGGACGGGUGAGUAACGCGUGGGAACGUGCCCUUUGGUUCGGAACAACACAGGGAAACUUGUGCUAAUACCGGAUGUGCCCUUCGGGGGAAAGAUUUAUCGCCAUUGGAGCGGCCCGCGUUGGAUUAGCUAGUUGGUGGGGUAAUGGCCCACCAAGGCGACGAUCCAUAGCUGGUCUGAGAGGAUGAUCAGCCACACUGGGACUGAGACACGGCCCAGACUCCUACGGGAGGCAGCAGUAGGGAAUCUUGCGCAAUGGGCGAAAGCCUGACGCAGCCAUGCCGCGUGAAUGAUGAAGGUCUUAGGAUUGUAAAAUUCUUUCACCGGGGAAGAUAAUGACGGUACCCGGAGAAGAAGCCCCGGCUAACUUCGUGCCAGCAGCCGCAGU
rnacentral:rRNA from 1 species